UUUCUUUCUUUCUUUCUUUCCUUAUUUACUUAGACAAGGCCUUGGUUUGUAGCCUCAGGUUGCCUCGGAUUUCUAGUAAUCUUCUUACUUCCAAAGUGCUGUGAUUACAGGCACACAAAGCUACAUUCACUUUGAAUGCCUGACGCUUUUAACACCCCUGUGCAGAAAAGUGACAGAUGUGUGGGUGUGCAUUAGAUAGUUGUGCUCAGUGAAUGGGUCUGGAAGUGAAGGAUCACUGCAGCAAUGAGCACCCCCAGAUCUUUGUUUCUAAAUAGUGGUCUCCCCUAUAUAGGAAGCCAGAACUCAUUGAAGAAAUGGCUGGUGUUAGGACCAGAGCAGGGAAAGUGGAAAAAAAUAAGCAAGUACUAAAACCUGAGCUAUGUCAAAGGGUGAAAGAGUCAGCCACAGGAACCUCUGAGAGCCCAGAUGGGUCAGCCAGAGUAUCAGGUAUGAGGAUACGGUGGGUGGAGAGGUGCGCAUCUUCAAUCCCAGCACUCAGAAGGCAGACACAUGGAGAGCACUGUGAGUUGACCUGGGCUAGACAGUAAGUUCUAGGCCAACCUGAGCUACACAGCAAGAGUUCUUUUUAAUUUUUUUUUUCUUUUUUCUUUAUGGUUUCUUGAGACAGGUUUUCUCUGUGUAGCCCUGGCUGUCCUGGAACUCGCUUUAUAGAUUAGGCUGGUCUCAAAUUAAGAGACUCAUUUGUCUCUGCCUCCCAAGUACUGGGGUUAAAGGUGUGCACCACCUUUGCCUGUCUCUUUUUAACUUUUAAAAUUACAUUUAUCUUUAUGUGUGUGUGUGUAAGUUCAUGUAAUGGUGUAGUAUGGACGUCAGAGGACUUUUGGAAGCUGGUUCUCUGCUUCUACCAUAUGUAAGUUCAGAGCCUGAACUCAGGUAACCAGGUUUGCAGCAAGUGCCUUAAGAACUAAUCUACUUGUCAGCCCCAGAGUAAGAUUUCAUCUCAUUAAAACACAAAAAACAAAGAAAGAAAACAGUCUGUAAAUACUUUUCUACAACUCACAGGCACAGACUCAAGAGAGCAUGUUUCCAGUAUAGAGAUAAAUCAUCAACAGACGAGAAUGAGUUCCUUGUACAAGGUUUGACUAAGUCUGAACAGUGUUUUAGUAAGGCGCCUCUGGCUCCCUCUGCUGGUGUCUCAUGUGGAAUGGUAUGAAUGAGGUUAUUAGCAUAUCCAAUCUUUCAGUUUAGAAACAUAAAGAUUUUCAAGUACAAUCUCUAACUCUGAAUGUCGCUUACUUCCCUAAAUUUGGAGAAACCCUGAGCCUACAAACUUGCAUGUUUCGUGGCUCUCAGAAGAAUUAGUAGGGGCAUGUUAACAGGGGACUAGUUUCUAAGAGCCCAGACAAACUUACCCCCUCAGCAGCAUCAAUGAAAAGGACUACUCCAUCUGAGAUGCGCAAGCCAGCUGUGACCUCAUCAGAAAAAUUCACAUGACCUGAAAAGCAAAUAUCCAGCUAUUGCUUGGUGGAAGGAGUCAGUUAGCUUCUAGGGUGACCCAAGGAACCAGUCCUAUGAACUCCAAAUAUCCUUCUUCCUGCCCACAGCAUCUCACAGUGUUUAAACUCUCAUUUGAUUUGAGUCCUAUCCUGGGAUUAAAGUUUUAUACAAGUCUCCACAUAGAGACGGUAAAGCAGCCGACACACCAAUUUAGUCUGACAGGUAACCAACAGUGCAGAAGCUAUGAUGAUCUGGAGACAGGGGAAUGGCAAAGGAAGGCCUAGGAAGCAUGGUGAGCCGCUCCAGACAAGGCACAGCUAGAGGACGGGGUGGCCGGGGCACCAGAGUGCCCAGGCAUGGGAACCUGAUGGGGCACUGAAGGCAAGUCUGCCAGAUCCCAAAUGGCCCAGACAUUAAAUCAAACACUUAUGCAUCAAGUCAGCCCUUUCCACGAAAGAAACAGCUGGCGGCAGGGCCACGGCACCCUGACACACUUUGUCCACUUCUCCAGGGUUAGGUCUGACUCACCUUUAUUUCAUCAUGGCUAGGCCUGGGGCCUAACAUAAACUGAAAUCAGUGUACACACAAAGUUCCUAAAAUUUAAAAUUCCACCGGGAAGUAAAGAUGGAUGUGACAUCAAAGGCCAGGAGACCGCUAUUGUGUCAAAGAAAAGGAAACCCGUGAACAAGAACACAAACACCAAGAACACUCCGUACUGCUCUGGGAAACGGAGCACAAACAGCGUGGACAAGGCUGUGACAGUAAGGGUCAAGGGGCCCACCUGGCGUGUCCAUGAUGUUGAAGAGGUAAGACUUCCCUUUGGUGUCCGGCAGCACCACCGUCACAGGAGUGCUCUUGAUGCCGACGCCUCUCUGAAAUCCACAGACAGACACUCAAGACUUAUCCCCGACCAAAGGAAUCCCUCAGCUCUUGGGGUUUAUCAGUUGCUAACUGAUCAUACAAAUGGUUCUCCUUGUAGUGGGUGUAAUUCUUUCUUUUUAUCUAGAUCUCUGACAUGAUUUUUUAGAUCACACACACACAC
rnacentral:lncRNA from 1 species